rnacentral:rRNA from 1 species
UUGAAAGGGAAACGAUUGAAGUCAGUCGUACCAGCGGGAAUCAACCUUUCGGGUGGGAUUUUGGAGUUUUGAAGAGUGUUAAAACCUUUGAGAUUUCAAAAUGUUUGCUCUUUUGGUGUACUUUCUCGUGGGUAGGUUAACAUCGAUUUUGAUCAUCAUAAAAAGAUUGGAGGAAUGUAGCUUCGAUCUUGUAUUGAAGUGUUAUAGCCUUUGGUAAAUGUGAUGAUUAGGAUCGAGGAUUGCAACGAAUACCCUUUUGGGCUAUCCGCCUGAUCUCUGAUACGUGGCCUUGGUAUCGAAAGCUUGCUUAUGGUAUUGAGGUAUUACGGUCAAAAGGUUAGAACGGAUUACAUUCGUUAAGGAUGUUGACGUA